AUUCAAUCAAGUUGAGGCAUCUAAACACUCAAAAUGUGGGGUGUGGUUAUAAUGUGUUAAUAAUCAAACACAUCAGGUACCAACAAAAUCAAUGAUGCAUAAAGGGGACAUCGAGUGUAUAUGUACUACUCUCAGGAACUGAUGAUCUCUUGAAAGAACACCAAGAAAUUUCGUCCGUCCAAAUGUUUUGAUUUUUUUAAAUAUUUUACAGUAUUUAGUACAAAUAUGAGAUUAAAUAACUAAUUUAUGAAACAUAAUACCAUACAUCAACCAUUCGUUAACAACAAAUAUGAGAUCGCUAAGUAGAACAAUGUCAUCUCCGAAUACGGUGGGACUAGCCUAUCAUACUUUACACGUUCAUCUCGAUAUAGAGUACCCUCCCAAGUCUCUCUGGGUCUAUCAUCAGCCCUAUACCUCCGCAUCACGUUCGUCAGCAAAAUUGGUAUCACCCCGGUUUUGUGUUGGAGAUUUCACUCAACAAAGGAUAUCGGAAAGGAGGUUCCUUUCCUAGAAACGAAACCUUGUUGACAGAACACAAAAUCAUUUGUGUUCCCAGGAAGUAGGGCAGUCACAAGGACUACUUAAAUCCCUACAACCUUAGGAAUCAUUUCUUUACAAUACCUAAGUUGAGAACUUCGUGCACAACAAUGUUCCAGAGAACUUAGGAGGAUCUUGGAUCGUGACGGAAUCGUGGAUACCACUUUCCGAAAAGAGUAUUUCGACGCUUAUAAGCCUUGGGUUACACGAUAUCUCUCCCGAGGAUAAGACCAUCACCACUCUUAUUGUUAGGCUCAAGAGAUAAGAGUAAAACCUUGAGAACCUUUGGAGAAAGAUUACUCCACCACUUUAAUGACCAAAGUGCCUACAUGUCUUGAAUGCUUUGUGUGGUGUAUGGAGAAUGCA
rnacentral:lncRNA from 1 species